rnacentral:piRNA from 1 species
CCAGUUGGAGGAUCCUAUGGAGG